CAGAAGAAGCACCGGCUAACUCCGUGCCAGCAGCCGCGGUAAUACGGAGGGGUGCGAGCGUUAAUCGGAAUUACUGGGCGUAAAGCGCAUGCAGGCGGCCUGUUAAGUCAGAUGUGAAAGACCCGGGGCGUUAACCUCGGAAUUGCAUUUGAAACUAGGCAGGCUAGAGUCUUGUAGAGGGGGGUAGGAAGUUUCAGGUGUAGCGGUGAAAUGCGUAGAGAUCUGAAGGAAUACCAGUGGCGAAGGCGGCCCCCUCGGACAAAGACUGACGCUCAGAUGCGAAAAGCGUGGGGAGCAAACAGGAUUAGAUACCCCUGGUAG
rnacentral:rRNA from 1 species